GAAGGAGGCUGCUUUUCAGUCGUUGUUUUUCAAGACGGCACACCAGCUAUGAAAUACCAUGUCCUCAUAGCCGGAGUUGGUGCCUACACUGCUGUCAUCCGGGGGGAAAAUUCAAAACAUGACUGUUUACUAAAGCCCUUGGAACCUAGUACUCCCAGCACAGCACUCUGUAACUGGAUAUUCUUUAAGGGAUUUUUUAAAACUGCAAAAGACAGUUUGUAGCUUUAAGAAUUACCCCUAGGGGGCAUUUAGCCAUGAAAACAAGAGCAUGCCAUUGUCAGCGCUGAAAUCUCGGUGACUGCAAGCUGUUCCCAGAAGCAGGAAACCAAUACAAAGCAAUGCCAGGUGAUUUUAUCCUGCAAAGUGGAAUAAGAGGAGAGAAGAUAAACUUGAGCAGGAAGAGAACAACCAGCAAUGCUAGAAUGAAGAAUGAUGCAGGGAGGAGAUGGAACUGCAGGGAGAAUUUCAUCAGGAAUAUGCAUCCCUAGCUAACAGAACUGUAUCAGAAGGAUUGUGAUGGUGAGUAGAAGGGGAGUCAAUCUAAACUUGCACAAUUUGCAAAGGUUUGGGCAAAGAAGGCAGCCAUUGCUCUUCAAGCAUUGGAGUAAGAUGUAGAAAUUCCACCAGUCACCUCCAAAUCCAGGGUCCUUCUUUAGCCAAUGUAGGCCACAAGACUGGUUCCAAAAUUGUUGGAAUAGAAGAGGCAAGCAAAUAUCAUAGAUCACCAACAAGACUGAUUCU